CCUACGGGCGGCAGCAGUGGGGAAUAUUGCGCAAUGGGCGAAAGCCUGACGCAGCGACGCCGCGUGAGGGAUGAAGGUCUUCGGAUUGUAAACCUCUGUCAGCAGGGAAGAACGGUCACUGUGCUAAUCAGCAGUGAAUUGACGGUACCUGCAACGGAAGCCCCGGCUAACUCCGUGCCAGCAGCCGCGGUAAUACGGAGGGUGCGUGCGUUAAUCGGAAUUACUGGGCGUAAAGCGCUCGUAGGCGGUAUGGCAAGUCAAGGGUGAAAUCCCCGCGCUCAACGUGGGAACUGCCUUUGAAACUGGCAAACUGGAGUGUUGGAGAGGUUAGUGGAAUUCCAGGUGUAGGAGUGAAAUGCGUAGAUAUCUGGAGGAACAUCAGUGGCGAAGGCGACUAUCUGGCACAUAACUGACGCUGAGGAGCGAAAGCGUGGGUAGCAAACAGGAUUAGAUACCCGUGUAGUC
rnacentral:rRNA from 1 species